AUUGAACGCUGGCGGCAGGCCUAACACAUGCAAGUCGAAUGGUAACAGGAAACAGCUUGCUGUUUCGCUGACGAGUGGCGGACGGGUGAGUAAUGUCUGGGAAACUGCCUGAUGGAGGGGGAUAACUACUGGAAACGGUAGCUAAUACCGCAUAACGUCGCAAGACCAAAGAGGGGGUCCUUCGGGCCUCUUGCCAUCAGAUGUGCCCAGAUGGGAUUAGCUAGUAGGUGGGGUAACGGCUCACCUAGGCGACGAUCCCUAGCUGGUCUGAGAGGAUGACCAGCCACACUGGAACUGAGACACGGUCCAGACUCCUACGGGAGGCAGCAGUGGGGAAUAUUGCACAAUGGGCGCAAGCCUGAUGCAGCCAUGCCGCGUGUAUGAAGAAGGCCUUCGGGUUGUAAAGUACUUUCAGCGGGGAGGAAGGGAGUAAAGUUAAUACCUUUGCUCAUUGACGUUACCCGCAGAAGAAGCACCGGCUAACUCCGUG
rnacentral:rRNA from 1 species